rnacentral:rRNA from 1 species
AGCGAACGCUGGCGGCAGGCCUAACACAUGCAAGUCGAACGAAGUCUUCGGACUUAGUGGCGGACGGGUGAGUAACACGUGGGAACGUGCCUUUAGGUUCGGAAUAACUCAGGGAAACUUGUGCUAAUACCGAAUGUGCCCUUCGGGGGAAAGAUUUAUCGCCUUUAGAGCGGCCCGCGUCUGAUUAGCUAGUUGGUGAGGUAAAGGCUCACCAAGGCGACGAUCAGUAGCUGGUCUGAGAGGAUGAUCAGCCACAUUGGGACUGAGACACGGCCCAAACUCCUACGGGAGGCAGCAGUGGGGAAUCUUGCGCAAUGGGCGAAAGCCUGACGCAGCCAUGCCGCGUGAAUGAUGAAGGUCUUAGGAUUGUAAAAUUCUUUCACCGGGGACGAUAAUGACUGUAGCCGGAGAAGAAGCCCCGGCUAACUUCGUGCCAGCCGCCGCCGUAAGAC